rnacentral:rRNA from 1 species
UAGGGAAUCUUCCGCAAUGGGCGAAAGCCUGACGGAGCAACGCCGCGUGAGUGAUGAAGGUCUUCGGAUCGUAAAACUCUGUUAUUAGGGAAGAACAAAUGUGUAAGUAACUAUGCACGUCUUGACGGUACCUAAUCAGAAAGCCACGGCUAACUACGUGCCAGCAGCCGCGGUAAUACGUAGGUGGCAAGCGUUAUCCGGAAUUAUUGGGCGUAAAGCGCGCGUAGGCGGUUUUUUAAGUCUGAUGUGAAAGCCCACGGCUCAACCGUGGAGGGUCAUUGGAAGCGGGAAAACUUGAGUGCAGAAGAGGAAAGUGGAAUUCCAUGUGUAGCGGUGAAAUGCGCAGAGAUAUGGAGGAACACCAGUGGCGAAGGCGACUUUCUGGUCUGUAACUGACGCUGAUGUGCGAAAGCGUGGGGAUCAAACAGG